AGUUCUCUCUCUCUCUCUUUUUUUUUUUUUAAUUCAUUUUUUAUAACCAGCACUUUUGGCGACUAAAACUUAUGCUUAUUAUAUGACCCCCACUCAAAAUUGCACAGAAGUCUGAAAACUGGAUCAAAGUUUGUCUUUGUUAAUGGUGUGGAAAAAGUCUGGGCAAAGCAAAUGUUGAAGAAGAAUCACAGGGACUGGUCUGAGGCAAGAAUUUGAAGCCACAUUGACGUAGAUGUACAAGUGACAAAAGUGCUGUGGUGAGUCUUAUCUGGCAGCUGAAUUGCUGAAAAGGACCAAAAUGAAACAGUUUGCUCUAUCUGCAUCAGACGACUGUCCAACAUUGAGGGUUUUUAAAAAGAGCUGCUCAAAGAAAGAGACCUUUGGGACGUGCAGAGUGGUUGUAAAACACUAGCCUUUUGGAGCUCUUCCACACUGGAAAAUUUCAUCGUGAUAAAACACAACCCCGAGGAAUCUU